UACGUAGGGUGCAAGCGUUAAUCGGAAUUACUGGGCGUAAAGCGUGCGCAGGCGGUGAUGUAAGACAGAUGUGAAAUCCCCGGGCUCAACCUGGGAACUGCAUUUGUGACUGCAUCGCUGGAGUGCGGCAGAGGGGGGAUGGAAUUCCGCGUGUAGCAGUGAAAUGCGUAGAUAUGCGGAGGAACACCGAUGGCGAAGGCAAUCCCCUGGGCCUGCACUGACGCUCAUGCACGAAAGCGUGGGGAGCAAACAGGAUUGA
rnacentral:rRNA from 1 species